UGCGGAAGCCCGGGCGCCCAGACCGAGUCAGGAGCCGGGCCCGCACCCUCCGCCCCAACGACCGUCCCCGUCCCGGCCGGGGAAACAGGUGUGCCGGUGGACCCGCGCGUCCCCGGCCCGCUUCCAUCACUUGCGUACCGUAGUGCAGGCCGCUGUCACUUGCCCCCACCUGCAGGAGUCCGUCCUCCUCGGGGGCUGAGUGCCCAUCUAUCUGGAAGCUGAGAAUUUGGCACUCUGUCAAACCCUGCAGACACCCCCCAUUCCUGCUGAGUCACCUGACUGCCCCCUGGGACUUCCAGCAUCUGGUUCUCUGGGUCUCUAGAGCCUCGUUAACCAUACUCCUGCCCCCUCCUCUCAGUAAUUAAAAUACUGUGGACAAAAUGUCCUGGAUUCCUUCCCCAGGCCUGCUCAAGUCAAGCUACGUGACCCAGGGGCUCUAAAGGAGGCCCCCGAGGUCCCUGGGAGGAGACAGCAGGGAAGCAGGGAAAGGCUGGGGUGGGGUGAGGGGCAGUGGCACUGGACUCCAGAUGUGUGAUGUGCAGAGAGCUGGAAGGCAGGGGCCGGGCUGCCGGGGCAGACAGGGACUGCGAGGUUUCCAGGCUGUCGAGGCUGAUGGAGGGCCGUGGUACGGACAAAGCCUUUGUGGUGAGGAAUUCACCAUCGUGCAGGUCUUCAGAUUAAGAGAAAUCACACUCAAAGUCAAACCAAGAACUGCCCCCUGAGAAGCCUUACUGUACCGGUACCUGAUUUAGAUACGGGAGUUCAAUUCUGGACCUUGAACCUGAGCCCCAUGCCAUAAUUGGAUAAGACUUGGGGGCAGCGCUUGCAAGGGGACAGUCCCCAGAAUCUGAUCACCAUGCUGGGAGGAGCCCACACUACAUGAAGAGAUCGUGAUUAGGUUCUCAAGUCGAGAGUCCAGGAUGACCCCUGUCUUUGACUCUUCCUACCCGGGUGCGAGUCAUGCCAGUUAUAAAGCCUCCAGAUAAUUCCAACCCUCAACCACUGAGUCAUCUCAAACUAUGACAGUCUACCUGACUGAGACCUUAGUCAUUGUGCAGCGGAGGUGAGCCCCCAUGCCCCAUCUUAAUUCCUGGUUUCACUGAAAUCCAUGAACACAAUAAAAUGGUAGUUGUUUUA